rnacentral:rRNA from 1 species
UCCUACGGGGGGCAGCAGUGGGGAAUAUUGGACAAUGGGCGAAAGCCUGAACCAGCAAUACCGCGUGAAUGAUGAAGGCCUUAGGGUUGUAAAGUUCUUUUAGUUGGAAAGAUAAUGACGGUACCAACAGAAAAAGCCCCGGCUAACUCCGUGCCAGCAGCCGCGGUAAGAUGGAGGGGGCUAGCGUUGUUCGGAAUUACUGGGCGUAAAGGGCGCGUAGGCGGAUUAGUAAGUUGGGAGUGAAAGCCCGGGGCUUAACCUCGGAACUGCUGUCAAAACUGCUAGUCUUGAGUGAAGUAGGGGAUGAUGGAAUUCCUAGUGUAGAGGUGAAAUUCUUAGAUAUUAGGAGGAACACCGGUGGCGAAGGCGGUCAUCUGGACUUCAACUGACGCUGAGGCGCGAAAGCGUGGGGAGCAAACAGGAUUAGAUACCCCGGUAGUCCC